rnacentral:tRNA from 1 species
CACUGGAUAGCUCAGUCGGGUAGAGCAGCGGAUUUAAAGUCCGUGUGUCGUGGGUUCGACUCCCACUCCAAUCA